GGGGAGGGUUGAGUGCAAACGAGUUCCAUCGCUGGGAUAUUACCGGAAGCAACACUAUAAGGGAAAAAGAUUUAAGCUUCUGGCAGUAAAAGUCAUAAGCAAAGGGAGGAGAAUUGAACAUAUAUAACAACUUUCAGUAGCAGUAUUCUUCAACAGAAAGAGAGACAGCAGUUGACGCGGGCGAGGAUUUCGUUAAUUAAAGCGUACAAGUUGAUAGUUCUUGGGGAGCCUCGCACUUGUUCGCGUGGGCGGAGAUUUUAAUUAUUGUUAUGGCCUUUUCUUUGAACUCUUAGAGUCUCUCCAUAGUCAUAUUUUAGUGUCUUGAGUAUUUCUUCGCUAUUAUAGUCUUAUGUUGAGUAUCGCUCAUUCUUAUCAAAUUUGGAGAUAAAGUUGUAUUUCUAGUUGUUAGUGGGCGGACUAUUAAAUGUAGAUAUUUGUUUUGGUUAAUUGAUAAAGUCAUUGUCAAUUGAA